AACGCGAAGACCUUUACCAGUUCUUGACAUCCUGUGCCCGCUACGGAGACGUAGUUUUCCUUUCGGGGACACAGAGACAGGUGCUGCAUGGCUGUCGUCAGCUCGUGUCGUGAGAUGUUGGGUUAAGUCCCGCAACGAGCGCAACCCUCGCCCUUAGUUGCCAGCAUUAAGUUGGGCACUCUAAGGGGACUGCCGGUGAUAAGCCGAGAGGAAGGUGGGGAUGACGUCAAGUCCUCAUGGCCCUUACGGGCUGGGCUACACACGUGCUACAAUGGUGGUGACAGUGGGCAGCGAGACCGCGAGGUCGAGCUAAUCUCCAAAAGCCAUCUCAGUUCGGAUUGCACUCUGCAACUCGAGUGCAUGAAGUUGGAAUCGCUAGUAAUCGCAGAUCAGCAUGC
rnacentral:rRNA from 1 species